CCAGACUCCUACGGGAGGCAGCAGUGAGGAAUAUUGGUCAAUGGGCGCGAGCCUGAACCAGCCAAGUAGCGUGAAGGAUGACUGCCCUACGGGUUGUAAACUUCUUUUAUAAAGGAAUAAAGUGAGGCACGUGUGCCUUUUUGUAUGUAUUUUAUGAAUAAGGAUCGGCUAACUCCGUGCCAGCAGCCGCGGUAAUACGGAGGAUCCGAGCGUUAUCCGGAUUUAUUGGGUUUAAAGGGUGCGUAGGCGGAAUGCCAAGUCAGCGGUAAAAUCGGGGGGCUCAACCUCGCUCCGCCGUUGAAACUGGGUGCCUUGAGUGGGCGAGAAGUACGCGGAAUGCGUGGUGUAGCGGUGAAAUGCAUAGAUAUCACGCAGAACUCCGAUUGCGAAGGCAGCGUACCGGCGCCCAACUGACGCUGAAGCACGAAGGCGUGGGUAUCGAACAGGAUUAGAUACCCUAGUAA
rnacentral:rRNA from 1 species